AUAAUUAAUUUGUAAUCGGAUUAGAAGGAGAGUAAUCGAAUGAGUGAUUUUUUAAGGGAUUAGUCAUUAAUCAUGGAUAGAAUGGACUUAACGAUUAAGCGGAGAGUAACCGGAUAUGAUGGACUUAGCGAUUAAACGGAGAGUAACCGGUGUUAGGCGGAGGAUUUUAGAACAAGAUAUUAUGUAAGAGACUAACUCCAAAAGACAAUCAAAUUCUCAGAAAAGCGCUUACAAGUCUACUAAAAAAAAC
rnacentral:sRNA from 1 species